AAGAAAAAUCGAUUUUCUUAGUAGCGGCGAGCGAAAGGGAAAGAGCCCAAACCGGAAACUUGUUUCCGGGGUUGUGGACAUAACAUAAAAGUGGAGGCUAUUGUAACUGAAGAGAACUGGAAAGUUCCACCGUAGAAGGUAAUAGUCCUGUAAGUGAAACGAGAAGACCACGAGUUAUGAUCCAGAGUACCACGAGACACGUGAAACCUUGUGGGAAGCAGGGAGGACCACCUCCCAAGGCUAAAUACUACCUGAUGACCGAUAGUGAAGCAGUACCGUGAGGGAAAGGUGAAAAGAACCCCGGGAGGGGAGUGAAAUAGAACCUGAAACCGUGUGCCUACAACCGCUCAGAGCCCCUUAUGAGGGUGAUGAGGUGCUUUUUGUAGAACGAGCCAACGAGUUACGGUAUGUAGCAAGGUUAAGUACUUAAGGUACGGAGCCGAAGGGAAACCGAGUCUGAAUAGGGCGACUAGUUGCAUGCCGUAGACCCGAAACCGGGUGACCUAUCCAUGGCCAGGUUGAAGCGAGGGUAAAACCUCGUGGAGGACCGAACCACGUUGCUGUUGAAAAAGCAUGGGAUGAGCUGUGGAUAGCGGAGAAAUUCCAAUCGAACCCGGAGAUAGCUGGUUCUCUCCGAAAUAGCUUUAGGGCUAGCGUCGAGUAUGAGUAGUGGAGGUAGAGCACUGAAUGGGCUAGGGGGCAUAGCGCUUACCGAACCUUAUCAAACUCCGAAUGCCACAUACUUUGAGCUCGGCAGUCAGACUACGAAUGAUAAGAUCCGUGGUCAAAAGGGAAACAGCCCAGAUCGUCAGCUAAGGUCCCAAAGUGUAAGUUAAGUGGGAAAGGAUGUGAGAUUUCUAAGACAACUAGGAUGUUGGCUUAGAAGCAGCCAUUCAUUAAAAGAGUGCGUAAUAGCUCACUAGUCGAGAGAUCUUGCGCCGAAAAUGUAACGGGGCUAAACUUACCACCGAAGCUACGGGCUUGAACUUAGUUCAAGCGGUAGGAGAGCGUCGUAACCGGGCUGAAGUCGUACCGUAAGGAGCGGUGGACUGGUUACGAGUGAGAAUGUUGGCAUCAGUAGCGAGAUGUGGGUGAGAAUCCCACAGGCCGAAAACCUAAGGUUUCCUCAGGAAGGUUCGUCCGCUGAGGGUUAGUCGGGACCUAAGCCGAGGCCGAAAGGCGUAGGUGAUGGACAACUGGUUGAUAUUCCAGUACCACUACCAUCGUUAUUAUCGAUGGCGUGACGCAGGAGGAUAGUGUGUGCUAGCUAUUGGAUGCUAGUCUAAGCGUUUAGGCAGUGAGAGUAGGCAAAUCCGCUCUCAUAAUGCUGAGGCGUGAUGGGGAAGGUUCUACGGAACCGAAGUACAUGAUUCCACGCUGCCAAGAAAAGCGUCUAGAGAGAGAAGUAGUGCCCGUACCGCAAACCGACACAGGUAGGUGAGGAGAGAAUCCUAAGGCCGGCGGAAGAAUUACAGUUAAGGAACUCGGCAAAUUGACCCCGUAAGUUCGCGAGAAGGGGUGCCUACGAGAGUAGGCCGCAGAGAAUAGGCCCAAGCAACUGUUUAGCAAAAACACAGGUCUCUGCUAAAGCGUAAGCUGAUGUAUAGGGGCUGACGCCUGCCCGGUGCUGGAAGGUUAAGGGGAACACUUAGCGCAAGCGAAGGUGUGAACUUAAGCCCCAGUAAACGGCGGCCGUAACUAUAACGGUCCUAAGGUAGCGAAAUUCCUUGUCAGGUAAGUUCUGACCCGCACGAAUGGCGUAAUGACUUGGGCACUGUCUCAACUGUAAAUCCGGCGAAGUUGUAGUGCGAGUGAAGAUGCUCGCUACCCGCGAUUGGACGGAAAGACCCCGUAGAGCUUUACUGUAGCUUAGCAUUGAGUUUUGGUAUUGUCUGUACAGGAUAGGUGGGAGACUAGGAAACCAGGGCGUCAGCCUUGGUGGAGUCAACCUUGGGAUACCACCCUGACAGUACUGAAAUUCUAACUGGCGGCCAUGAAUCUGGUCACAGGACAUUGUUAGGUGGGCAGUUUGACUGGGGCGGUCGCCUCCUAAAAAGUAACGGAGGCGCCCAAAGGUUCCCUCAGAACGGUCGGAAAUCGUUCGAAGAGUGCAAAGGCAGAAGGGAGCCUGACUGCGACACCCACAAGUGGAGCAGGGACGAAAGUCGGGCUUAGUGAUCCGGUGGUACCUCGUGGGAGGGCCAUCGCUCAACGGAUAAAAGCUACCUCGGGGAUAACAGGCUGAUCUCCCCCAAGAGUCCACAUCGACGGGGAGGUUUGGCACCUCGAUGUCGGCUCGUCGCAUCCUGGGGCUGAAGUAGGUCCCAAGGGUUGGGCUGUUCGCCCAUUAAAGCGGCACGCGAGCUGGGUUCAGAACGUCGUGAGACAGUUCGGUCCCUAUCCGUCGCGGGCGUAGGAAAUUUGAGAGGAGCUGUCCUUAGUACGAGAGGACCGGGAUGGACUGACCUCUGGUGUACCAGUUGUUCCGCCAGGAGCACAGCUGGGUAGCUAAGUCGGGAAUGGAUAAACGCUGAAAGCAUCUAAGCGUGAAGCCAACCUCAAGAUGAGAUUUCCCAUAGCGUAAGCUAGUAAGAUCCCUUGAAGAACACAAGGUUGAUAGGUCGGGGGUGUAAGCAUGGUAACAUGUUCAGCUGACCGAUACUAAUAGAUCG
rnacentral:rRNA from 1 species